rnacentral:misc_RNA from 1 species
GUGAAUCAUCGAAUCUUUGAACGCACCUUGCGCCCUUUGGUAUUCCGAAGGGCACACCUGUUUGAGUGUCGUGAAAUUCUCAACCCUCUUCGCUUUUGUGAAGCUGGGAUUGGACUUGGAGGCUUUGCCGGCUCUGCUCGGCUCCUCUCAAAUGCAUUAGUACGUCUUGUUGCGAUGUGCCCUCGGUGUGAUAAUUAUCUACGCCGUCGCGCUUGCUUCUGUUGAGACGCGCUUUCAAACCGUCCGAAAGGACAAUUCAUCGAACUUUGACCUCAAAUCAGGUGGGACUACCCGCUGAACUUAAGCAUAUCAAUAAGCGGAGGA